AAAUUUUUGUAUUAUUGGAGGUCUAGUGGACCAAGUGGGGUACCCCCAACAUCAAAAGAAACCAUAGAAAUUGACAAAGACGAGAGCAUGGAAUCAUGGCUUAUUAGAUUAAAAGAGUUCAGAAGCACUCCCAUGCGCCUCUCAUCACAUCUUCCCUUUGUUUUGAGUACUUUUUUUUUUUAAAUAAAGCGACGAGGAAUAGAAGGUGGUGUAAUUAAAUAUUUGGGAUAUUCUCCCCAUGUGGGAAACCCUGGUUUCUUUUUCCCUGAGGGAAAAUGGAGGGUGAAAGAGCAGAGGAGGUGUUAGAAUCUCUAGUAGGUUGAGACUCUAGAGAGAGAUUGGCUAGGACAUCUAGUUGGUAGAGAGAGAAUCUCUAGUAGUUAGAACGGCUGCCCUUUAAGGUAGAGAGAGAGAGGGAGCAUCUCUUGCAGUAGAGAGAGAGAGCAUUUCUCGAAGUAGAGAGAGAAGCUCUGGUCGUUUGAAGAACGGGUGCCUUUUAGGUUGAGAGAGAGAGAGAGAGAGAGAGAGAGAGAGAGAGAGACAANNNNNNNNNNNNNNNNNNNNGUACGUACGUGAGAGAGAGAGAGUAGUACGUAGUACGUAGUAGAGAGAGAGUAGUACGUACGUCGUACGUACGGUAGUACGGUACGUACGUAGUAGUAGAGAGAGAGAGAGAGAGAGAGAGAGAGAGAGACAAAGAUCUCUUGAAGUCGAUGCUUACUGGGUGAGAUCUUGUAGAGAGAGAAAUUUGAUAUUUGGGGUGGUCAGGGCAGACAGAGAUGGAAAAUGUGAAGAUGUAAGGCGAAGAAGUCUGAAACCAUGACGGAUUUUGCCGCCGCGUAAAUUGGGGAAAUGGCUUUUAUGGGCGCAAGUGGAGUGCGAUCUCCAGGCCGCUUUUUAACAGGAACUAUGGGAAAUAAAUGGCAUCUGAGUGGGACUUAAUAUCGAAGGUGUCCCCUUUGUAAAAUAUCCUUCGCUGACGGUAUCACACGCGUUUGCGAUCACUCCGGGUGUUCAACUGUCGUUUUCAGGUGCGGGAGGACUGAGAGAACAAACAGAUCUCUCUCUCUCUCUCUAAGUUGUAGGCAUCUGAUAUUUGUACAAGGCACGCUACUUUUGUCCAUGAGGCCUCCUUUUUAAUGUUUCGACGAUAUUUCUGCUUCUCACACACCGACACUGUUCUACAAUUCUAAACAAUCCUUGAAAUUUGCCUUUCUUCUGGCUUACCCUACUUAAUUUCAAACGUCUUGAAUCGCCGAGUUUUAGUCUCUAUUCUGUGAUUUAUUUCUUAGAUGUAGCCCAGUCCAGUUCGUUCUACUUCGAGA
rnacentral:lncRNA from 1 species